GAAAUGCGAUAAGUAAUGUGAAUUGCAGAAUUCAGUGAAUCAUCGAAUCUUUGAACGCACAUUGCACCUCAUGGUAUUCUGUGAGGUAUACAUGUUCGAGCGUCGUUUAAACCGUAAGACUCUGUCUUGUGUUGACGUUCCUGAGGUUAAACUCAGGGCGUUGAAAAUGAUUGGCGCACGAGUUGUUGAGACCACCCAAUAUAACGGGGAAGAGUCUGGACAGUGUGAGCAGCCGAAAACCUUUUUUAAACGUUCGACCUCGAAUCAUGUAGGAUUACCCGCUGAACUUAA
rnacentral:misc_RNA from 1 species